rnacentral:rRNA from 1 species
UUCCUUGAACCGCAUGGUUCAAGGAUGAAAGACGGUUUCGUAGCUGUCACUUACAGAUGGACCCGCGGCGCAUUAGCUAGUUUAGGUGGGGUAAUGGCUCACCAAGGCGACGAUGCGUAGCCGACCUGAGAGGGUGAUCGGCCACACUGGGACUGAGACACGGCCCAGACUCCUACGGGAGGCAGCAGUAGGGAAUCUUCCGCAAUGGACGAAAGUCUGACGGAGCAACGCCGCGUGAGUGAUGAAGGUUUUCGCGAUCGUAAAGCUCUGUUGUUAGGGAAGAACAAGUGCGAGAGUAACUGCUCGCACCUUGACGGUACCUGACAACCAGAAAGCCACGGCUAACUACGUGCCAGCAGCCGCGGUAAUACGUAGGUGGCAAGCGUUGUCCGGAAUUAUUGGGCGUAAAGGGCUCGCAGGCGGUUUCUUAAGUCUGAUGUGAAAGCCCCCGGCUCAACCGGGGAGGGUCAGUUGGAAACUGGGAAACUUGAGUGCAGAAGAGGAGAGUGGAAUUCCACGUGUAGCGGUGAAAUGCGUAGAGAUGUGGAGGAACACCAGUGGCGAAAGCGACUCUCUGGUCUGUAACUGACGCU